rnacentral:tRNA from 1 species
GCGGGCGUGGCGGAAUGGCAGACGCGCGGGAUUUAGGUUCCCGUGGGGUAACACCUGUGCAGGUUCAAGUCCUGUCGCCCGCA